rnacentral:lncRNA from 1 species
GGUGGGUUAGGAUUUUUGGAAUGUGAAAUUUAGUAUUCUAAUAAAUAUAUAAGGAAAAAUGAUUGAUGACUACAUGAAGUACUGGGCAUCACAUGACUAACCAUGCAGACUAAACUAAUGUCUACCUAGCUACACGAAGUAUAUGUUAUGCAUGACAACAUCCCUCAACUUAAUGAUGUUAUGUAGUUAACAUCACGAGUUUAAUUUCAUUCAUCUAAAAAAUGAUGUGGAUGUGAGACAUCAUUUAUAUCUCAUGUUUUAUCAAUUAAAAUAGGGAUUUUUGCAAAAGUGACUCAAAACUUGAAGUCAAACAGAAAACUAACAUUUUCUUUUGACUC